rnacentral:rRNA from 1 species
UGAGGAAUAUUGGUCAAUGGACGAGAGUCUGAACCAGCCAAGUAGCGUGAAGGAUGACUGCCCUAUGGGUUGUAAACUUCUUUUAUACGGGAAUAAAGUUAGCCACGUGUGGCUUUUUGUAUGUACCGUAUGAAUAAGGAUCGGCUAACUCCGUGCCAGCAGCCGCGGUAAUACGGAGGAUCCGAGCGUUAUCCGGAUUUAUUGGGUUUAAAGGGAGCGUAGGCGGGUUGUUAAGUCAGUUGUGAAAGUUUGCGGCUCAACCGUAAAAUUGCAGUUGAUACUGGCGACCUUGAGUGCAACAGAGGUAGGCGGAAUUCGUGGUGUAGCGGUGAAAUGCUUAGAUAUCACGAAGAACUCCGAUUGCGAAGGCAGCUUACUGGAUUGUAACUGACGCUGAUGCUCGAAAGUGUGGGUAUCAAACAGGAUUAGAUACCCUGGUAGUCCACACAGUAAACGAUGAAUACUCGCUGUUGGCGAUAUACGGUCAGCGGCCAAGCGAAAGCAUUAAGUAUUCCACCUGGGGAGUACGCCGGCAACGGUGAAACUCAAAGGAAUUGACGGGGGCCCGCACAAGCGGAGGAACAUGUGGUUUAAUUCGAUGAUACGCGAGGAACCUUACCCGGGCUUAAAUUGCAACUGACUGAACCGGAAACGGUUCCUUCUUCGGACAGUUGUGAAGGUACUGCAUGGUUGUCGUCAGCUCGUGCCGUGAGGUGUCGGCUUAAGUGCCAUAACGAGCGCAACCCUUAUCGAUAGUUACUAGCAGGUCAUGCUGAGGACUCUAUUGAGACUGCCGUCGUAAGAUGUGAGGAAGGUGGGGAUGACGUCAAAUCAGCACGGCCCUUACGUCCGGGGCUACACACGUGUUACAAUGGGGGGUACAGAAGGCAGCUACACGGCGACGUGGUGCUAAUCCCGAAAGCCUCUCUCAGUUCGGAUUGGAGUCUGCAACCCGACUCCAUGAAGCUGGAUUCGCUAGUAAUCGCGCAUCAGCCACGGCGCGGUGAAUACGUUCCC